rnacentral:rRNA from 1 species
CAGUCGCCACGGUAAUACAGAGGGUGCGAGCGUUAAUCGGAUUUACUGGGCGUAAAGCGUGCGUAGGCGGCUAAUUGAGUCGGAUGUGAAAUCCCCGAGCUUAACUUGGGAAUUGCAUUCGAUACUGGUUAGCUAGAGUGUGGGAGAGGAUGGUAGAAUUCCAGGUGUAGCGGUGAAAUGCGUAGAGAUCUGGAGGAAUACCGAUGGCGAAGGCAGCCAUCUGGCCUAACACUGACGCUGAGGUACGAAAGCAUGGGGAGCAAACAGGAUUAGAGACCCCGGUAGUCCCUGUCUCUUAUAC